rnacentral:lncRNA from 1 species
CUUUUCCACUUCAGCUGCUUGGUUUGCUGUACGCUUUGGGACUGAAAUGCAGUAUGAACACACCCGUGUCCUCAGUGCCGGGGUGAGAGCUGCCAUCCUACUUGUGAUUGUCACAGCUGGUGUGAAUUGAACAGGAGCCAGGAUAGAGCACUUAAGAAAGUCCCCACAGCCCCAGUUCCCCACAAACACAAGAGGUUGGGCCAAAGCUGCUAUCUGCUUCACACUUCUUUUUCUCCUGGUCUGGAGGUAUGAAGUCCCAUCCUUUUUGCUUUUACAAGAUGUAAAGAUGCUGAUCCUCCUGGAAAUCAGGUUACCAUCACUGUGGGAGACAGCUUCCAGAUCUGUUUGUCAGGGCUACUGAACCUUGCUUGUGUGUCCCAAGGUAUUUAUCUGCCAUAUACUUGGGGCUUCAGCAAAUGUUCAGGGCACAUCUCUGUGUGUCUGCACAAUACCUUUGCACACACAUCUUCACUGAUAUGAGAAUUGCUGCUCCACAGCCAGCCCCAGGGACAAUGCAGAGUGGAGCUGUGACCAGAAUGGAUGACUUCAUAAGAGGAGGGAACUUACCCAGCCUCACUGACAGAUUUUUAUGAAGGGUUUCCCAAAGCCAGCCUGCAGCAGCACAUCACUACAGAUACGCUUCUGACAUUUGUAGUUCACAAAGCAGCGGUACUAAAAGUAAAACACUGCCAGUGGGUUUCCAUAAAAAGCCUGAUUCUUGGGUUAUUU